AUUGAACGCUGGCGGCAUGCUUUACACAUGCAAGUCGAACGGUAACAGGGUGCUUGCACCGCUGACGAGUGGCGAACGGGUGAGUAAUGCGUCGGAACGUGCCGAGUAGUGGGGGAUAACGCAGCGAAAGUUGUGCUAAUACCGCAUACGUACUGAGGUAGAAAGUGGGGGACCUUCGGGCCUCGCGCUAUUCGAGCGGCCGACGUCUGAUUAGCUAGUAGGUGAGGUAAAGGCUCACCUAGGCGACGAUCAGUAGCGGGUCUGAGAGGAUGAUCCGCGCCACUGGGACUGAGACACGGCCCAGACUCCUACGGGAGGCAGCAGUGGGGAAUUUUGGACAAUGGGCGAAAGCCUGAUCCAGCCAUGCCGCGUGUCUGAAGAAGGCCUUCGGGUUGUAAAGGACUUUUGUCGGGGAGGAAAUCCCCAGCGUUAAUACCGCUGGGGGAUGACAGUACCUGAAGAAUAAGCACCGGCUAACUACGUGCCAGCCGCCGCCGUAAAAC
rnacentral:rRNA from 1 species